GUCACUCUAACCAAUUCCGAUGAUCUUUGUGGAUAUUUUUUUCUAGCAAUCACAAUUUCUGAAACCUCAAUUUCGUUGUUAACAGAAACGAUGGCAUGAGAAUCAGGGUCUUCCACAACCUCAACACGAGAAUGCUGGUGGAAUCUCCGGUGGAAUUGAAUCAGAAGCGGGUAAUUGUGGAGUAGGGGUGAAGGCUGAACUAGAACCGGAGUUGUUGAAAUUGGGACUAGGGUUGGAAAAAAAGGGGUGGUUUGAAGAUCAACUUGUGUAUACUCAUCAAGGGGUUCAAGUUUUGGUUCAAUCUUGGGGAUGAUUCUUGGAGUUGG